rnacentral:rRNA from 1 species
AUUGAACGCUGGCGGAAUGCUUUACACAUGCAAGUCGAACGGCAGCACGGACUUCGGUCUGGUGGCGAGUGGCGAACGGGUGAGUAAUGUAUCGGAACGUGCCCAGUCGUGGGGGAUAACGUAGUGAAAAUUACGCUAAUACCGCAUACGAUCUAUGGAUGAAAGCGGGGGAUCGCAAGACCUCGCGCGAUUGGAGCGGCCGAUACCAGAUUAGGUAGUUGGUGGGGUAAGGGCCCACCAAGCCAACGAUCUGUAGCUGGUCUGAGAGGACGACCAGCCACACUGGAACUGAGACACGGUACAGACUCCUACGGGAGGCAGCAGUGGGGAAUUUUGGACAAUGGGCGGAAGCCUGAUCCAGCCAUUCCGCGUGCAGGAUGAAGGCCCUCGGGUUGUAAACUGCUUUUGUACAGAACGAAAAGGUUUCUACUAAUACUAGGAGCUCAUGACGGUACUGUAAGAAUAAGCACCGGCUAACUACGUGCCAGCCGCCGCUGUAA